rnacentral:rRNA from 1 species
CAGUCGCCGCGGUAAUACAGAGGGUGCGAGCGUUAAUCGGAUUUACUGGGCGUAAAGCGUGCGUAGGCGGCUUCUUAAGUCGGAUGUGAAAUCCCUGAGCUUAACUUAGGAAUUGCAUUCGAUACUGGGAAGCUAGAGUAUGGGAGAGGAUGGUAGAAUUCCAGGUGUAGCGGUGAAAUGCGUAGAGAUCUGGAGGAAUACCGGUGGCGAAGGCGGCCCCCUGGACAAAGACUGACGCUCAGGUGCGAAAGCGUGGGGAGCAAACAGGAUUAGAUACCCCCGUAGUCCCUGUCUCUUAUAC